rnacentral:rRNA from 1 species
UACGAAGGGGGCUAGCGUUGUUCGGAAUCACUGGGCGUAAAGGGCGCGUAGGCGGCCGAUCAAGUCGGGGGUGAAAGCCUGUGGCUCAACCACAGAAUUGCCUUCGAUACUGUUUGGCUUGAGACCGGAAGAGGUUAGUGGAACUGCGAGUGUAGAGGUGAAAUUCGUAGAUAUUCGCAAGAACACCAGUGGCGAAGGCGGCUGACUGGUCCGGUUCUGACGCUGAGGCGCGAAAGCGGUGGGGAGCAAACAGG